rnacentral:rRNA from 1 species
UACGAAGGGGGCUAGCGUUGCUCGGAAUCACUGGGCGUAAAGCGCACGUAGGCGGCUUUCUAAGUCGGGGGUGAAAUCCUGGAGCUCAACUCCAGAACUGCCUUCGAUACUGGAGAGCUCGAGUCCGGGAGAGGUGAGUGGAACUGCGAGUGUAGAGGUGAAAUUCGUAGAUAUUCGCAAGAACACCAGUGGCGAAGGCGGCUGCACUG